GUCCUCCCGUCCUUGGGUACUCAUGCACGUGUCGGGCAUGUUUCAGGCUGGCUGGGCCAAGGAUUCAACCUAUGGUUACCGUGUGGGAUCCACUUUUUCUUGACCGGUGCGUCACCACUGCAUCAUGGAGCCAGCCUGGGAAAUACGAAUUGUGAAAGGAGCAACAAGGGACUAAAAGCCACUAAAACUGAUUGAUACGAUGAAAUUGUUCUGAAGAUACUGACCAUCAGUCCAUACCCCCUGGAUUCUACCCUGAUGGAUGUAUCUUUCCAGAGGAAUGAGUGGUGAAAUCGUCAGUACUUUGCGCACCAGACUUCCGAACUGAAAAGAAGCAAAGGCGAGAUGGUGUUGCUGUUACAUCUGGACUAGAAGAACAGAAGGGGAAGAUCAGGACACAUUUGGAGGCAGAGAGAAAAUGCUGUUGAAGAGGAUAAGCAUUGCAGAGCUGCUUCUAUGGGCCUGCGACCCCUGCACACAUCCAGGGCCCUACAUUCGAUGUAAAGCUCUACUGUCAUUGUCUAAAUUCUUCAUAUAU